rnacentral:lncRNA from 1 species
CUACAAUGAAAAUGUAAACAUAAGAGUGGGUACAACUUAAAGGAGUUCAAUACAAAAAGGAAGGCCAGCUUUAGAGUAGAAAUUACACUAUCUGAAACCAGGUGCUAGAAAAUAGAAGCUCAUUUCGAUUAAAAUACCAAUAAAUGUGAAUGGCUCAUUCUUGGAGUGGUUUCUAAAAGUAUUUAGAGAAAAUAUGAGGCACUGAAAAGAGAUAAAACUUCAAGUGAACACGUUGACUAAGAGGUAGACCCAAGGCCCAAACUUAUAUUUUAGCAAAAGAAAAGGAAAAUCAGCUUUCAUAGAACAGUGGAAGAGGUUGACAUCAUAUUCACAGAUGAAAAUUCAAGUUAUUUUAGCAAGAUGUUCUAGAAAAGUCACCAAGGCAAAUCAAAUGGUGCGUCAAGGCACCAAGAGUACUCUCCAUGUGUCAAUUAUUUUAAAAAAAUAGCAGUGAGGUCAAGCAGCACAGACCAUUUACCUGCCAAUUGCCAAUAAUGCCUUUCUAUCUCGCAAGCAAAGGUUAGAAUCCUAUCAUUAAAGUUGAUUCCCUUCACUGCCAUUUACCUGCUUUUAACCACUAAUUUCUAUAAUGAAAUACAACACCACCACAAAGUAAGCCUUAUUCCCACCAAAUUAGGGGUUGGCUAUAUGAUUCAUUUUUGGUCACU